GAUAAACGCUGGCGGCGUGCCUAAUGCAUGCAAGUCGAACGGUUUAUUCCCUUCGGAGGGUAAAUAGUGGCAAACGGGUGAGUAACACGUGGGAAUCUGCCCGAGAGUGGGGAACAACUCCUCGAAAGAGGAGCUAAUACCGCAUACGGUCUCCUGGUGAAACGGGAAGACUAAAGCUUCGCUUGAGAGAGCGGGGCGCUCUUGGAGGAGCCUGCGGCUGAUUAGCUAGUUGGUGGGGAAAGGCCUACCAAGGCGAUGAUCAGUAGCUGGUCUGAGAGGAUGGACAGCCACACUGGGACUGAGACACGGCCCAGACUCCUACGGGAGGCAGCAGUGGGGAAUAUUGGACAAUGGGCGCAAGCCUGAUCCAGCAAUGCCGCGUGGAUGAAGAAGGUUUUCGGAUUGUAAAGUCCUUUCGGCGGGGACGAUGAUGACGGUACCCGCAGAAGAAG
rnacentral:rRNA from 1 species